AUGGUUCAAUUGAAGGAAGUUAAUGAAAUAAUUAUGACAGACAAAGUUCAACUCAAGUGACCUAACGGUCUUUACAGAGAGUUUUUUACAUUCAAAACAACAAAAUUGUGAAGCGCGUAACUAGUCAGCUGAUUAACAGCUGAUUGUCUCUGUUUACGUGCGAUUCACACGAAUUUGAAUCAAGAUAUCAGG